rnacentral:rRNA from 1 species
UACGGGGGGGGCAAGCGUUGUUCGGAAUUACUGGGCGUAAAGGGCGCGUAGGCGGCCUGCUAAGUCGGACGUGAAAUCCCCCGGCUCAACCUGGGAACUGCGUCUGAUACUGGAAGGCUUGAGUAUGGGAGAGGGAUGUAGAAUUCCAGGUGUAGCGGUGAAAUGCGUAGAUAUCUGGAGGAAUACCGGUGGCGAAGGCGGCAUCCUGGACCAUUACUGACGCUGAGGCGCGAAAGCUAGGGGAGCAAACGGG